UGGGGAAUAUUGGGCAAUGGGGGAAACCCUGACCCAGCAACGCCGCGUGAAGGAAGAAGGCCUUCGGGUUGUAAACUUCUUUUACCAGGGACGAAGGACGUGACGGUACCUGGAGAAAAAGCAACGGCUAACUACGUGCCAGCAGCCGCGGUAAUACGUAGGUUGCAAGCGUUGUCCGGAUUUACUGGGUGUAAAGGGCGUGUAGGCGGAGAUGCAAGUUGGGAGUGAAAUCCAUGGGCUCAACCCAUGAACUGCUCUCAAAACUGUAUCCCUUGAGUAUCGGAGAGGCAAGCGGAAUUCCUAGUGUAGCGGUGAAAUGCGUAGAUAUUAGGAGGAACACCAGUGGCGAAGGCGGCUUGCUGGACGACAACUGACGCUGAGGCGCGAAAGCGUGGGGAGCAAACAGG
rnacentral:rRNA from 2 species